rnacentral:rRNA from 1 species
UACAGAGGUCCCAAGCGUUGUUCGGAUUCACUGGGCGUAAAGGGUGCGUAGGCGGUCGGGUAAGUCUGAUGUGAAAUCUCACAGCUUAACUGUGAAACUGCAUUGGAUACUAUCCGGCUAGAGGAAUGGAGGGGAAACUGGAAUACUUGGUGUAGCAGUGAAAUGCGUAGAUAUCAAGUGGAACACCAGUGGCGAAGGCGAGUCUCUGGACAGUAACUGACGCUGAGGAGCGAAGGCGUGGGGAGCGAACAGG